rnacentral:rRNA from 1 species
GACGAACGCUGGCGGCGUGCUUAACACAUGCAAGUCGAACGGAAAGGCCCUGCUUUUGUGGGGUGCUCGAGUGGCGAACGGGUGAGUAACACGUGAGUAACCUGCCCUUGACUUUGGGAUAACUUCAGGAAACUGGGGCUAAUACCGGAUAGGAGCUCCUGCUGCAUGGUGGGGGUUGGAAAGUUUCGGCGGUUGGGGAUGGACUCGCGGCUUAUCAGCUUGUUGGUGGGGUAGUGGCUUACCAAGGCUUUGACGGGUAGCCGGCCUGUGAGGGUGAACGGCGACAAGGGGACUGAGAUACGGACCAGAAUGCAACGGGAGGCAGCAGUGGGGAAUAUUGCACAAUGGGGGGAAGCGUGAUGCAGCAACGCCGCGUGCGGGAUGACGGCCUUCGGGUUGUAAACCGCUUUAGACUGAGACGAAGCGUGAGUGACGGUAAUGGGUAAAGAAGCACCGGCUAACUACGUG